rnacentral:rRNA from 1 species
AGUGAACGCUGGCGGUAGGCCUAACACAUGCAAGUCGAACGGCAGCACAGUAAGAGCUUGCUCUUACGGGUGGCGAGUGGCGGACGGGUGAGGAAUACAUCGGAAUCUACUUUUUCGUGGGGGAUAACGUAGGGAAACUUACGCUAAUACCGCAUACGACCUACGGGUGAAAGCAGGGGAUCUUCGGACCUUGCGCGAUUGAAUGAGCCGAUGUCGGAUUAGCUAGUUGGCGGGGUAAAGGCCCACCAAGGCGACGAUCCGUAGCUGGUCUGAGAGGAUGAUCAGCCGCAUGGGAACUGGAACAGGGUCCAGACUCCUACGGGAGGCAGCAGUGGGGAAUAUUGGACAAUGGGCGCAAGCCUGAUCCAGCCAUACCGCGUGGGUGAAGAAGGCCUUCGGGUUGUAAAGCCCUUUUGUUGGGAAAGAAAAGCAGCAGGUUAAUACCCCGCUGUUCUGACGGUACCCAAAGAAUAAGCACCGGCUAACUUCGUG